AGUCGUGCCCCGUCCUUUGGCGCUGGAAAUGGCGGAGGGCUCCCUCUGGCUUCUGAGGAUUGUCCAGCGCCCCUCCGAGGUCCUGGAGAAGCCAGGAGCGCUGCCUACAACUCGGCCUUGACUUCCCCGCAGCCUUGGUCGCCGCAGCAUUGGGUCAGAGGCAUCCCUGGAGAUUGCAGAAAGUUAGCGGCGGCCCCUGUUGACGCAGCGAGUGACGGCCCGACAUACCCUGAUAGGCCACGGGGAGGGCCAGACGCAGAGCCUUGAAAGAAGGAGCUUGCGCUCUGGAAGGGGCGUGGCCAGCGCUCUUCCUCGAGGGCGGGGCUCUAGGGGAAGGGGCUCUUCUCUGGGAUAUUGUGCCACAAGCGAGGACACCCGUGCACCUAGCCCAGGGCCUGUGUCCUGGCGUCAGCGCAUCUGUGGGCAGCAACUUUACCCUCCCCAGACCUCAGUUUCUGCACCUGUAAGACGGAGGCUCUUCCACAACUGCAAAAAUCGGAGUUUCAUCCAGCAUUCUCAGAAUUCCUGUCUCCAGGCAGGCACUGAGGAAUCAGAGCUGCGUUCCUGUGGAGGUUGGAGACCAGCCCCUUCCUGGUGGAACAGGCACCCUGUAGCCUGGGAUGUGACAGUCAUAUGACAGGGCCUGUAACAAGUAACAGUGGUAGCCCAAAUAUGUCGAGCACUUACUAUAUGCCUGGCUUUUCAUGAAGUCUGUCGCAUACGUUAUUUACACCCCCACCCGCACAGCCGUGUCUGGUGGUCCUGUUCUUGACAUCCUGUUUACUGAUGAGCCCAGAGUCACACAAUAGUAGCCAGUCCAAGGUCACCCAGCUAAUAAAUGGCUGAAGCAGUAGUCCACAGUCUCAUCCACUGUUCCGUACCAAAAAAAAAAAAUGUUUAACCUGGAAGGGAGAUGGCAGAGGGGGAAAAUUACAAGAUCCUACCAGUGUUAAUCUAUACCACGAGUUGAGCCCUUAGUAUGUGUUGGAAGCUGGCCUACAGAUCAGCACCAUUUAUACUCCUGACAGUGACCUUAUACUAUAGGGUUGUUAUUUCCACUUCUGAGAGGUCAUCUCAUAUGUCUCUGGUCACACUGCUAGUACAAAACUGGAACUUUGAGUUUAAUGGAUGGUACACUCAGCCUGCCUGUAUAUCACUCUUAGGAAGACCCCACUCUUCUCUGAGCCUGUUUCCCGUUCUGCACAAUGAGAGGUUUGGACCAGAAGGCUCUGGACAUUGUUUCCUGAGCUCACAUUCUUUGAUUUUAGGAGCAUUGACAUGAUGUCCAGAGUCCUGGGUUUGUUCCUAAUUAUCUAUGACUUGGGAACGCCUCGGCCUAAUCCCUUGCAUCUCUGGGCCUCAGUUUCCCCCUUUGUAAAAUGUGGAGAUGAGAAAGUCUCAAUCACCAAGGGACCUUCUGGCUUUAAUAUUUUAUGACUGCAAAUGAAGAGACAAGCUGAGGUUCAGCAAAUUGUGCAUCCUCUGAGAAAUUCUAAUGAAUGUGAUUCUGCCACCUUGCUCAAAACAUUCCUGGUGCAAGGCUUCCAAGGACAGAUGCCCAUGUAGGUCAAGGGGAACAGCCACCUCCAGAUAAUCAGCAUUAACUGCUGGAGGAGGCUCACUCUCCUGAUGGUCCAAAAUCCACCCCUGUGGUCAGACCAGCUUAAGACUGAAUGCCAGCACUUCCCCCUGGGCACCUCAGAGAAGUGACCCUUUCUGUGCCUUAGUUUCUACAUCUGUAAAAUAGGGUGCUAACAGGACCAGCUUCAUUUGAGAUUUGAUGGAAAAACAUGUGCAAAAAGCCUAACAUGGACAUUCCCUGGUGGCUCAGUGGGUUAAGGACCUGGCAUUGUCACUGUCGUGGCACAGGUUUGAUUCCUGGCCCAGGAACUUCCUCAUGCCAAGGGUACAACCCCAAAAAAAAGCCUAACAUGCUACUUCUGGCUUAGGAAAACCCCCAAUAAAUACAACUGUUACC
rnacentral:lncRNA from 1 species